AGCUACAGUGUACUUACUUACAUAUAAUAAAUAAAUAAAAAAUAGCAGUUGUAAAGCAUCCUGCAUGGGAUAGAGUUAUCCUGUCUCAAAACAGGAAAUUGUUCGUGCGUGUCUGUGUGAGUAUAUCCUGCUUGGGUAGCGGUAUCCUCAGAGGGCAGAAAACACUUGGGAUUCCUUGGAGCCUGAGGUAAGGACAGUUGUGAGCUGGCCAUUGUUGGUGUUGGGAACCAAACUUCAGUCCUCUAAAAGAGAAUGUUCUUUCUGAACUGCUGAGCCAUCUUCCCUGUCUGUGUUAAAAUGAUUUUGUUACUUUUUUUUUUUUUUAAUUGAAACAAGUUCUGACUAUGUAUCUCUGCUUAGAAUGUACCCAGGCUGGCCUCAAACUCAAGGAUCCAUUGAUUCUGAAGUGCUGAGAUUAAAUGGGUAUACUACCAUACCAGGCUCAAUUCCCCCACCUCCCUUUUUUUUUUGUUUUUGUUUGUUUUUUUUGUUUGUUUUGUUUUUGUUUGUUCUUUUGAGACAGGGUUUCUCUGUAGCCCUGACUGUCCUGGAACUCAUUCUGUAGACCAGGCUGGCCUCAAACUCAGAGAUCUGUUUGCCUCCAAAAUACUGGCCUUAAAAAAUGUGCCCCACCAUGCCUAACUUCAGAACAAUUUCUUUUUCUUUUUUUUUGAGACAGGGUUUCUCUGUAUAGCCCUGGCAGUCCUGGAACUCACUUUGUAGACCAGGCUGGCCUCGAACUCAGAAAUCCACCUGCCUCUGCCUCCCGAGUGCUGGGAUUAAAGGCAUGCACCACCACACCCGGCAGAACAGUUUCUUAAGAUAUGAUCAGGUUAUGUCAGUUUUAGGGGGCAUUUUUAUUUUUUGAGACAUUUGUCACAUUAUAUCUAAGUUGGUCUGAAAUGCUAUGGGACCCAGGCUGUCUUAGCCUCUCAGGUAAUGGUAUUAUAGGUCUGUCGCCACACCAGUUUCCAAUGGUAACAUCUUUUAAAUAAAGUAAAAUAUUUCCAACCGUUGAAGGGCACUACAGGCCAAGAAGAUAGCUCAGUGGACAGCCUGGUAGGGUGGAUCAGCCAUGUGCCACCAAGCCUGAUGCUGUGUUCAAUCCCUGGGACAAGGUUGAAGGUGGGGACAUUGCUGACCUUUGUAGUCCUCUACAAUGGAUUAAAAUUUUUUAAACUCC
rnacentral:lncRNA from 1 species